rnacentral:rRNA from 1 species
UACGUAGGGGGCUAGCGUUGUCCGGAAUCAUUGGGCGUAAAGCGCGUGUAGGCGGUUCGGUAAGUCCGCUGUGAAAGUCGGGGGCUCAACCCUCGAAUGCCGGUGGAUACUGUCGGACUAGAGUACGGAAGAGGCGAGUGGAAUUCCUGGUGUAGCGGUGAAAUGCGCAGAUAUCAGGAGGAACACCGAUGGCGAAGGCAGCUCACUGGGACGGUACUGACGCUGAGACGCGAAAGCGUGGGGAGCAAACAGG